AUUGAACGCUGGCGGCAGGCCUAACACAUGCAAGUCGAACGAGUGGCGGACGGGUGAGUAAUGUCUGGGAAACUGCCUGAUGGAGGGGGAUAACUACUGGAAACGGUAGCUAAUACCGCAUACCAUCAGAUGUGCCCAGAUGGGAUUAGCUAGUUGGUGGGGUAACGGCUCACCAAGGCGACGAUCCCUAGCUGGUCUGAGAGGAUGACCGGCCACACGGGAACUGAGAAACGGUCCAGACCCCUCGGGGGGGCAGAAGGGGGAAAUAUUGCAAAAGGGGGGCAAGCCUGAUGCAGCCAUGCCGGGUGUAUGAAGAAGGCCUUCGGGUUGUAAAGUACUUUCAGCGGGGAGGCGUUACCCGCAGAAGAAGCACCGGCUAACUCCGUGCCAGCAGCCGGGUAAUUC
rnacentral:rRNA from 1 species